UGAGGGAUCGUCUAAUGGCAAGACACCUGACUCUGGAUCAGGCGAUCGGGGUUCAAAUCCCUGUCCCUCAGCCA
rnacentral:tRNA from 1 species